rnacentral:rRNA from 1 species
UACGUAGGCAGCGAGCGUUGUUCGGAGUUACUGGGCGUAAAGGGUGUGUAGGCGGUUGUGUAAGUCGGGUGUGAAAUCUCGGAGCUUAACUCCGAAACUGCAUUCGAUACUGCCGUGCUUGAGGACUGGAGAGGAGACUGGAAUUUACGGUGUAGCGGUGAAAUGCGUAGAUAUCGUAAGGAAGACCAGUGGCGAAGGCGGGUCUCUGGACAGUUCCUGACGCUGAGGCACGAAGGUCAGGGGAGCAAACGGG